AAGAGCUUGCUCUUAUGGGUGGCGAGUGGCGGACGGGUGAGGAAUACAUCGGAAUCUACCUUUUCGUGGGGGAUAACGUAGGGAAACUUACGCUAAUACCGCAUACGACCUUCGGGUGAAAGCAGGGGACCUUCGGGCCUUGCGCGGAUAGAUGAGCCGAUGUCGGAUUAGCUAGUUGGCGGGGUAAAGGCCCACCAAGGCGACGAUCCGUAGCUGGUCUGAGAGGAUGAUCAGCCACACUGGAACUGAGACACGGUCCAGACUCCUACGGGAGGCAGCAGUGGGGAAUAUUGGACAAUGGGCGCAAGCCUGAUCCAGCCAUACCGCGUGGGUGAAGAAGGCCUUCGGGUUGUAAAGCCCUUUUGUUGGGAAAGAAAAGCAGUCGAUUAAUACUCGGUUGUUCUGACGGUACCCAAAGAAUAAGCACCGGCUAACUUCGUGCCAGCAGCCGCGGUAAUACGAAGGGUGCAAGCGUUACUCGGAAUUACUGGGCGUAAAGCGUGCGUAGGUGGUUGUUUAAGUCUGUUGUGAAAGCCCUGGGCUCAACCUGGGAAUUGCAGUGGAUACUGGGCGACUAGAGUGUGGUAGAGGGUAGUGGAAUUCCCGGUGUAGCAGUGAAAUGCGUAGAGAUCGGGGAGGAACAUCCAUGGCGAAGGCAGCUACCUUGGAUCAACACU
rnacentral:rRNA from 1 species